GACGCGGGAGUACUCGGCCUUUCUCCUCAGGGAGCGGUGGGCGGUGCAGGCCAUGCUGACGCCUGUCCUGGCCCGGCCUACUCCAGCUCGCUCCAUCCAUUCCAGUUACAAACAUGAAAAGUUCGAAUUGAGUGCAGCACCGAGUUGGAAGAGAGUGGUGACUGAUAGCGAUGAGAUGCUAACAGAAAGGAAUCCACUGGUCUAGUGGGAGAGGGUGAGUAUAUAGAGAGUACCAGCCCAAAUAAUAAAUACAGGUGGUAGCUGAGGUUCAGUUCAUGCUGUGUGUGCAAUGACGACGUAGCCACGGAGAUCAGAGUGGGCUGGAAGCAGAAGACACGCCAGCAUUUGGCUUUUGAAUGGCACGUGCUUCAUGCUGGGGACUGCCUGUGAAACAGCCCGGGGCCAGAAGAAAAGGCCGCAUGGUGGGUUACAUAGCUGCUUUGUAUUGUGGUACAGUGAGGCAGGGCUUGGGGCUGAGGGACAUGUGAGGAGAGCGGGUAGAGCCUGGAAGGUGCCACAAAGCCAAGGGCCGGGCUCUGGGUGGCCUGGCCCACCAGGAGGGAGCUACCCCUGGAGUGCUCUGGAAGGGGGUGGGAGCCUGGGGUGUAUGGAAUAAGGAAAAGAAGCCACACAGUUGUGCUGGCCUGCGGACCAGCAACCCACCCUUAAUGCCAGCUGCUGGUGAAGAUGUGAUUUGGCCCCCUGCACAGCGAGGACAUGGUGGUGGGGAGCUGAUAGUGGAGUGGUGGCUCAUAGGAUGUGGGUGAGAACAGUGAUUUGUGCCUCUGUUACCUGAAAUAAGGCCUUGAUUGAUUGUAAACCUGUAUCUAGUUGCAGUAGUGAACUAAAUAAACUUUUACUCUUCUU